AAUAAUCGUAACCCAAUUUUUUUUAAGAUCAUCCGUCUUAUUUUUGAAUUUUUUUUAUGAUUAGUACUUUUAUUGUACUAGAUUAUAAAACAUGAAUAAGACUUUAUACGUGACUUACGUUUUUUUAGUUUUUCUAAAAUAAAUUUAAAUAAGAUAGAUGAUUAAAGUUGAACACGGAAACUUAUGACUGCGUUUAUU
rnacentral:pre_miRNA from 1 species